CUUUGCUCCUGAUGACUUCAUGGGCUGGAAAAAUCUGAUUUGGGUCUUUAAAUCCCAGGGUCUCCAGUCCGCUGAAAUCUCCCCAGCCCCCCAGCUCUCUGCUUCUGCAGUCUCUGCCCCAGGCUGAGGGCAUCCGGGCGGCCCUGGCUACACCAAGGCCCCGUCUCAGCUCUGCAGUGAGCGCCUGACGGAGGAGCUGAGUGGUGGUGGGGCCCGGGCCCGUGGGGGACGAGGAGGUCAGAGGAGCAAAAGGGACAAAUAGAACAAGGGAGAGAAGCAACUUUGAUGCCCCUCCCCACCCGCCCCGGAGGAGGAGGUCCCAGAGAACAGGCCGCCCACCUCGAGGGCUGACCACCCUCGUCUUUCACACUGCUACGGUGCUCGUUGUUCGGAUCCGUGAGUCGACCAGAACCCCAGCAUCACUACCACACUGCAAUUUGCUUCUGCCUCAAUGAUGAACAGAUUAGCACAGCGCACCAUCGAGCCACAGCCAGGAAGUGGCCUGAAACCUCAUGCAGGACCUGAGCAACCCAAGCAGGGUCCCGCCGUCCCUCACUUCCGGAUGACACAGAGGGAGAUGAAGUUGAAGCAGACAGCCCACGAGCCUGUGGUCAUGUCAUCCUCAGGGUCUUGCUAUAUAGUCCACACUGGCCUCAAACUCACAAUUCUGCUUUGGCCUCCUCAGUGCUGGGAUUACAGGAAUGGACCACCA
ensembl:lncRNA